rnacentral:rRNA from 1 species
CCUACGGGAGGCAGCAGUGGGGAAUUUUGGACAAUGGGGGCAACCCUGAUCCAGCCAUUCCGCGUGAGUGAAGAAGGCCUUCGGGUUGUAAAGCUCUUUCGCAAGGGAAGAAAACUUAUGAUCGAAUAAAUCAUGAGGUUGACGGUACCUUGAUAAGAAGCACCGGCUAACUACGUGCCAGCAGCCGCGGUAAUACGUAGGGUGCGAGCGUUAAUCGGAAUUACUGGGCGUAAAGCGUGCGCAGGCGGUUUUGUAAGUCGGAUGUGAAAUCCCCGGGCUCAACCUGGGAACUGCGUUCGAAACUGCAAGGCUGGAGUGUGUCAGAGGGGGGUAGAAUUCCACGUGUAGCAGUGAAAUGCGUAGAGAUGUGGAGGAAUACCAAUGGCGAAGGCAGCCCCCUGGGAUAACACUGACGCUCAUGCACGAAAGCGUGGGGAGCAAACAGGAUUUAGAUACCCUGGUAAGUCCCGACGACCGUAACCGACUAGUACUACUACGUUAGUUGGUUAGGUAGUAAAUACUAUAGUAGUAACGUAGUACGUACGACGUGUAGUAGUACGCCGUCGGAGGUACGGUCGCGAGAUAAACUAACAANAGAGUAGAGCGUGAGACGUGCGACGGACGACGACGAGGGAGGAGG